GGUAAUGCCGGAUGCUCCAGUUGAUCGCAUGGUCUUCUGGGAAAGCUUUCGCGGUAUGGGAUGGGGUCGCGUCCUAUCAGCUUGACGGCGGGGUAACGGCCCACCGUGGCUUCGACGGGUAGCCGGCCUGAGAGGGCGACCGGCCACAUUGGGACUGAGAUACGGCCCAGACUCCUACGGGAGGCAGCAGUGGGGAAUAUUGCACAAUGGGCGCAAGCCUGAUGCAGCGACGCCGCGUGAGGGAUGGAGGCCUUCGGGUUGUAAACCUCUUUUAUCGGGGAGCAAGCGAGAGUGAGUUUACCCGUUGAAUAAGCACCGGCUAACUACGUGCCAGCAGCCGCGGUAAUACGUAGGGUGCAAGCGUUAUCCGGAAUUAUUGGGCGUAAAGGGCUCGUAGGCGGUUCGUCGCGUCCGGUGUGAAAGUCCAUCGCUUAACGGUGGAUCCGCGCCGGGUACGGGCGGGCUUGAGUGCGGUAGGGGAGACUGGAAUUCCCGGUGUAACGGUGGAAUGUGUAGAUAUCGGAAAGAACACCA
rnacentral:rRNA from 1 species